UACGGGGGGGGCAAGCGUUGUUCGGAAUUACUGGGCGUAAAGGGCUCGUAGGUGGCCAACUAAGUCGGACGUGAAAUCCCUCGGCUUAACCGGGGAACUGCGUCCGAUACUGGUUGGCUUGAGUUUGGGAGAGGGAUGCGGAAUUCCAGGUGUAGCGGUGAAAUGCGUAGAGAUCCGGAAGAACACCGGUGGCGAAGGCGGCCUGCUGGGCAGUGGCUGACACUGAGGCGCGACAGCGUGGGGAGCAAACAGG
rnacentral:rRNA from 1 species